ACACUGGCAGGGGAGAUGCCAUGAUCACAAAGGUGGUUUUCCUGGAGCGGGGCUGAUCCAUUGCACUCCAGAUGUGCCGACUCCUGUGAUUUUCCCAAAUGUGGGAAACUCGACUGCAUAAGUUGUGGCAGUGGGGGACUGUGUUCGCACUUUUCUCUG